UCUUGGAUGUGCUGGGGGGUAAGCAGAUAAACAUCAAAUUUUAAUUUUUGGGUGAACUAUCCCUUUAACACGGUAAGUUCAGUAACCCAAUUUUUUAAUAGCAAAAUCUAAAUGCAUUUAAUUUGAAAACAUCAGAAAAUUGUAUUCAAGUGUUAAAGUGCAUCAUGACCUUUUUUUCCCCCCUGAAAAAUAAUAAUAUAGCCUAAUAAAAAUAUAAUAAUAUCUCUGAUAUUAGUCUUCUCUGUUUAUGACUGUUUGCUUUAACACAAGCUGUAAACACUUCAUUAGAGUGCUGAAAGGCAUUAAUAUAGUACAGGUCAUUUAUACAUCUGAAGAUAGAUAGAAAUAUAGAUUCUGAAAUAUCACACUAAUACUGGUCUUCUCUGCUUGACUCUCUACAUGCCUCUGUUUGAGCCGCCAUGCUACAUGUGGGUCAUGUGACAACAUUAAAUUAACACCGUAAGUUCAGUUACUCAAAAUUUAAUAGAGUAAAAUCAGAAUGUGUUUCAUUUGAAUGCAUCAAAAAAUGUAUCUCUGAUACUGAUCUUCUGUGUUUCUUACUCUCUUCAUCUACAUGGUGCUGUUUGAGUGCACCGCAAUGGGAGAUGUGGCAAGAGUGGUCAUGUGACAGCAUUAAAUUAACACGACUGGAGGAUCUGGACAAUGAAGAAGAGACGAGGUCUGGAUUGCAGCUACUCUUCAACUAAACAGUCUAACAGAAAGAAGGAGUGAUUUCCUAUGGAAGUCAGUUGUCCCUUUUGACCCCAGCAUGUAUUGCUGUAAACUGUUUCAUCAAACCAUAUAUAUCAGAGAAAAUUCAUGAUGGACUUUGCUGUAAAGAUACAUUAAUAUUUGAAAAGAUACUUUUCACUUCUUCAAGGACUUUAUUAACCCCCUGGAGCCGUGUGGAGUAUGUUUAUGAUGGAUGGAUGUGGAU